ACCCACCACGGCCACGCACCGCCGGGCCGCUCCUCCUCCUCCUCCUUCGCCCAAGAUCCAUGGCCAUGGAGGUAAGAUGCAGCGGGCAAGGCUGCCUCAUCGACAUCAAGCUUCGUGGUGAUGAUGCUGGGCAUGGACGAACAGCAAGUAGCAGCAUCACCACCAUUGCGGGAAGCUCGGUGGUGGCGAGAUCUAUUCAUUGAGGCAUCACCACCACUCCUCCGACAAGCACGCCGCUGGUUGACAGCUCUUCCUCAUCUUCUAAUUCAAUUUUUCUAGGUAGAAGAGAUGCAUCUCCUUGUUUUUUUAAACAAGUCUAUUAUUUAAUCAAUCUCUUGAGAUGCAUCUGCUUUCGUGUGUGAUUGUGUCUUCUGUGUGGAUUUUCUGCAGCACACAUAGAAAGAAAGAUCGAUCUAAUUUUGUUUCCUCUAUUGCAGUUUUCGACUAGUGACUGGUCUUUUUUUCUGUGUAAUUUUCCUCAGGAAAAUUGAUUGGUCUUAGUGUGUAAUUUUUUGUAAUCUUUAGCGAUACUUUGAUUGAAGAAAUGAGGACCUUUGUGCUGGCUA